UAAUUUUUAGGUGAAUUCUUCGGUACACGUAUUAUGUGGACGUGUACCGGUACACUGCUGAGGUGACUAGCAUUUAAUGCAUAUUUUAUUUCUUUAUUAAGUGUCCUAUUUUAAACACUACUUUUUAAUAUUUGCAAAUGUAUCCUUCACAUUAAUAUAAUCAUCAAUCAUGUUCCAUAAUAAAUCAAAGCAUAUCAAAUCUUUCAACCUAGUUUUUUUUUUUAACAAGAUUUAAAUAUUUUAAUCCUUCAAUAUUUUCACCGUU
rnacentral:lncRNA from 1 species